rnacentral:tRNA from 1 species
GGCGCCGUAGCCAAGUGGUAAGGCAGAGGUUUGCAAAACCUCCAUUCGUCAGUUCGAUCCUGACCGGCGCCUCCA